GAUGAACGCUGGCGGCGUGCUUAACACAUGCAAGUCGAACGGGAAACUUUUCAUUGAAGCUUCGGCAGAUUUGGUCUGUUUCUAGUGGCGGACGGGUGAGUAACGCGUGGGUAACCUGCCUUAUACAGGGGGAUAACAACCAGAAAUGGUUGCUAAUACCGCAUAAGCGCACCGGACCGCAUGGUCCGGUGUGAAAAACUCCGGUGGUAUAAGAUGGACCCGCGUUGGAUUAGCUAGUUGGCAGGGUAACGGCCUACCAAGGCGACGAUCCAUAGCCGGCCUGAGAGGGUGAACGGCCACAUUGGGACUGAGACACGGCCCAGACUCCUACGGGAGGCAGCAGUGGGGAAUAUUGCACAAUGGGGGAAACCCUGAUGCAGCGACGCCGCGUGAAGGAAGAAGUAUCUCGGUAUGUAAACUUCUAUCAGCAGGGAAGAUAGUGACGGUAC
rnacentral:rRNA from 1 species